CUUGCGGUUUUCCAUCACUACACCUUCCUCUUAAUUGUCCUCCAUUAUUACCCGAUUUCAGGAUUUAAAGGAAGAAUAAAAAACAUUGAAACCUUUCGCUUCUUCAUUCGUGUUAAAAGUUCUACGUUUUUCCCUUUUGUGUCCCAGAGUAUUAGGCGUAAUGAAUGAGAAAUAUAAUUGGGAAAAAUGAGAAUAGAGAGAUAAAUGGGUAGUAUAAACUCUUUGGUUGCGUAAAUAAGUUUCGAGUAUAUAGUUUUCGAGAGAGCUAAUGGAAUCAUAAAUCAGAGGAAUAGGAAAGAAUACAAAAUCCCCAACUCUUAUGUUUCUUUUUUUAUUGAAACUGUUUUUGAAUCAAAAUUUACACUUGACUAACUGUAUUUCGAAUUUCAUAUUUCUUCAGUUUUCCAAUUUAAGUGAAGAGUCUAUUCUUUGGAUUCUUAGUUUUUAUUAAUGAGAUUUUACAGGGGUUAAUCUGUAAAUAGAGCUAUCGAAGAUAUAUGGUGGUCCUUCUGUGGAUGAUCCAAUGAAAAAGAGACAUGAAUACUUUAUUAGUUCCCUUAAGGGUGAUUUCAGGGUACCAGAUGGUCCAUUCUCAUUAAGGUCAGAGAUCUCACUCAAGCUCACCUCAGCAAUAUUGGAUCACGUAUGAAGAAGUAAACAUGAGCCUCUAAACCCAGAAUAUGAACUUGACCUCUACUUCAUUCUCAACUUUGCUGCUGUGAAGAUGAUGAGCACCAUCAAGAGGAGAUGGUUAUUAUUGUGGCAAUAUGAAGGAAAUUUUACAUGCAGCGACAGAGAGUCUGAGGAUGUUUUGGCGUGGGGUAGCACCACCUCAUUGCAAGGACACCUUCAUGAUAAAGAUGCAAGCAUUUCGAAAGGGGUUGUCCGCCUAAAUUUUCCAUGUUGCAUUGUUAAAAUCUGAUAUGGGUUGCAGAAUUGGAAAGUAUAAUAUGAUAUGAUGGCUUCAUAUUUGCAAAAAAAUCAAUUAAUGUUGGACUACGAAGGAUCAGUAGGAUGUUACAACAUCUUAGGUUGAAUCACUCAUGCCAACUGGGAAUCAAUUUAUUUUUUUUCUUUUCUUUUGUUUUUUUUUUUCCUGAAAGGGGAUGGUUUUGAUAAAGAGGAAAAGUAUUUACAAGCCAAGGUACAAUUCGAAUG